CUAAUACAUGCAAGUCGAGCGGUAACAGAUCUAGCUUGCUAGAUGCUGACGAGCGGCGGACGGGUGAGUAACGCGUAGGAAUCUAUCCAGUAGCGGGGGAUAGCCCGGGGAAACCCGGAUUAAUACCGCAUACGCCCCACGGGGGAAAGGCCGGGAUCUUCGGACCGGUCACUAUUGGAGGAGCCUGCGUUAGAUUAGCUAGUUGGUAGGGUAAAAGCCUACCAAGGCAACGAUCUAUAGCUGUUCUGAGAGGAAGAUCAGCCACACUGGAACUGAGACACGGUCCAGACUCCUACGGGAGGCAGCAGUCGGGAAUAUUGUGCAAUGGGGGAAACCCUGACACAGCCAUGCCGCGUGUGUGAAGAAGGCCCUAGGGUUGUAAAGCACUUUCAGUAGGGAGGAUAAGCUAGGAUUAAUAAUCUUAGUUCUAAGACGUUACCUACAGAAGAAGAUCCGGCUAACUCCGUGCCAGCAGCCGCGGUAAUACGGGGGGAUCAAACGUUAAUCGGAAUUACUGGGCGUAAAGCGUGCGUAGGUGGUUAUUUAAGUGGGAUGUGAAAGCCCUAGGCUUAACCUAGGAACUGCAUUCCAAACUGGAAGACUAGAGUAUUGUAGAGGGUAGUGGAAUUUCCAGUGUAGCGGUGAAAUGCGUAGAGAUUGGAAGGAACAUCAGUGGCGAAGGCGGCUACCUGGACAAAUACUGACACUGAGGCACGAAAGCGUGGGGAGCAAACAGGAUUAGAUACCCUGGUAGUCCACGCCGUAAACGAUGUCAACUAUCCGUUCGUAGACUUGAUCUGUGAGUGGAGCAGCUAACGCAAUAAGUUGACCGCCUGGGGAGUACGGCCGCAAGGUUAAAACUCAAAUGAAUUGACGGGGGCCCGCACAAGCGGUGGAGCAUGUGGUUUAAUUCGAUGCAACGCGAAGAACCUUACCAUCCCUUGACAUCCAGAGAAUUCGCUAGAGAUAGCUUAGUGCCUUCGGGAACUCUGAGACAGGUGCUGCAUGGCUGUCGUCAGCUCGUGUUGUGAAAUGUUGGGUUAAGUCCCGCAACGAGCGCAACCCUUGUCCUUAUUUGCCAGCACAUAAUGGUGGGAACUCUAAGGAGACUGCCGGUGACAAACCGGAGGAAGGUGGGGACGACGUCAAGUCAUCAUGGCCCUUACGAGUAGGGCUACACACGUGCUACAAUGGCCAGUACAGAGGGCUGCAAACCUGCGAGGGGGAGCUAAUCUCAUAAAACUGGUCGUAGUCCGGAUUGGAGUCUGCAACUCGACUCCAUGAAGCCGGAAUCGCUAGUAAUCGUGGAUCAGCAUGCCACGGUGAAUACGUUCCCGGGCCUUGUACACACCGCCCGUCACACCAUGGGAGUGGAUUGCACCAGAAGUAGGUAGCUUAACCUUCGGGGGGGCGCUUACCACGGUGUGCUUCAUGAUUCACUGGCCUAGGG
rnacentral:rRNA from 1 species